AAUAUAUUUUUUGGUUUAAGAUCUCUAUGAUAAACAUUGGCUGUGUGCAUAUAUUUCAAAGCCCGUAGCAUCUGGUAGAGGAAAAACCGGUGGUGCUCGUGCGUCAAGUCAUCAUUGGCUUUAAUAACUUGAUGAAAAUCAGAUUCCAUAAGCUCAAAAACAACAUAUAUAUCUUUGAAGUCCCGCCUCGAAGGAGGAAUCAUAAUGCGUUUGAUUUCAACAAUAUCAAGGUGCCUCAAAAUCCUAAGCAACUUCACUUCACGCAAAAUUCUAAUUGCAUCAGAGAUGUGCUCAAAAAUGUCAUUUAUUUUCUUUAUUACUACCUUUUCCCAGUAUGAGUGUCCAGGGCUGCACAAACAACACCAUAGCUCCCUUUCCCUAUAAUCUCCAGAAUCUUAUACCUGUUGGCAUCCCCAUACUCUGUAAAAAAUUCCACCUCCUUGGAAUUCUUCUUGCGCUGAUCUUGUUGCAUCUUCUAGCAACCUAACAGUUGCACUAACGGCAUCGUUUCCUUCGCGUCCUCCCACAAGAUCGCGGAUCAAAUUCCCAAAUUAAGAACUCGGCGAAGAAAAAAAUCACGAAAUCCGACGAAUUAGAGCCACCGACACCGAUUCCGGGCGAAGAAUCCUAGGCACCGUUUCCUAACUCAAUUCACCACUUCACCGACGCUCAACCACCGCCACCUAACGCAUCAACUUCUCGCCAAAACUCCAAUUUCUCUUACAAUAUUACACGCAAAACAGAACUCGCAACGGAUCCGGGUUGAGAUCAAGAUCCAGUUGUUCCAAGAAAUUAACCUAGCGAUCACGGAAGAACUGAACGCUGGGUUCUGAGAGAUCUCACGGAAGCGGUGCCGGUGGUGGAGGAGAGCGAAGCAACAGGAAGGAAGAAGAACGAGAAGAGCGAGGGAAGAGUUCAUCGACCAAUUCGCCAUAGCUCAGAUUCAGAGUAGACGUGGAAAUGAGAGAGACCAAGCUUGAAAAAGAUGGCUUCUGCUAUAAACAUGCUUCUUCAAGAGCUUAUAACGACCGGGUUAAGGGAGAAGACAUGGAGCAUGUGAAAUUACGUGACUACCCUUGUGUUUCACGGCGAGUUGACGGCAUCAUUAACGGAGGACCACAUUAGGUAAAAAUUGGAAAGUCAUGGAUGUUAUUGGUUAAAAUCAUAAGUCGAGGACCAAUUUGUGAAUUAUGCUAUAGUCGAGGGACCAUUUUGGGUAUUUACUCUAUUUACAAUUGAUCGUUUCUAUACCUCGUGUCAACAACAGAUACAGAAUCUGAAAGUUAUUUUUGAAACAAGGUCAGGUAAACCCUAGCCCAUGAUGUAAUUUGCCCAAUAUUGCAAUGUCGACAAAGACUAGAUAUACAUUUUUAAUAUACUGAAUGUAGAUUAUACAAAA